AUUCCUACGGGAGGCAGCAGUGGGGAAUUUUGGACAGUGGGCGCAAGCCUGAUCCAGCAAUGCCGCGUGCAGGAAGAAGGCCUUCGGGUUGUAAACUGCUUUUGUACGGAACGAAACGGUCUGGGUUAAUACCCUGGGCUAAUGACGGUACCGUAAGAAUAAGCACCGGCUAACUACGUGCCAGCAGCCGCGGUAAUAAU
rnacentral:rRNA from 1 species